rnacentral:rRNA from 1 species
GACAGAGGCCUCGAGCGUUAGGCGGAAUCACUGGGCUUAAAGCGUGUGUAGGCGGAUCGUUAAGUACCUUGUGAAAUCCCACGGCUCAACCGUGGAACGGCUGGGUAUACUGGCGGUCUUGGGCCAUUCAGGGGCGACUGGAACAAGCGGUGGAGCGGUGAAAUGCGUAGAUAUCGCUUGGAACGCCGAAGGUGAAAACAGGUCGCUGGGGAUGUGCCGACGCUGAGGACGAAAGCCAGGGUGGGACAAACGGG